ACUUUUAACAACAGAUCUCUUAGUUCUAGCAUUAAUAAAGAACGCAGCAAAAUGCAAUAAGUAGUGUGAAUUGCAGAAUUUAGUAAAUUAUUAAAUCUUUAAACGCAUAUUGCGCCCCUUAGUAUUCUAUAGGGUAUGCCUAUUUAAGCGUUAUUUGUACCCUUAAGCUCUACUUAGUGUUAGGUGUUUAUUCUACUUAGGACUUGCCUUAAAACAAUUAGUAGCUAGCAUAUUAGCCUAGAGCGCAGCAUAUUUUACGCCUCUUGUUAUAGUUGUUAGUAUCUAUUAAGACACCUUUUAAGCUCUUAACCUUAGAUUAGGUAGGGAUACCCGCUAAACUUAAGUAUAUUAAUAAGCAGAGGAAAAGAAACUAAUAGGGAUUGCCCUAGUAACAGCGAGUAAAGCGGUAAUAGCUUAAAUUUAAAAUCUAGCUCUUUUAGGGUCUAAGUUGUAAUUUGCAGAGGGCGCUUUAGUGUUAGUAGUAGUCUAAGUUCCUUAGAAUAGGACGUUAUAAAGGGUAAGAAUCCUAUACGUAGUCGCUAGCCUUUGCCGUGUAAAGCCCCUUUAACAAGUUAAGUUAUUUAGGAAUAUAGCUCUAAAUAGGAGGUAAAUUUCUUCUAAAGCUAAAUACUAGCUAGAGACUAAUAGCGCACAAGUAGAGUAAUUAAAAGAUAAAAAGCACUUUAGAAAGAGAGUUAAAUAGCACAUGAAAUUGUUAAAAGGGAAGCGCUUGUAGCUAGACUUGCCUAUAGUUACUUAUCUAGGCUUUUAUCUAGUGUACUCUUCUAUAGGUAGGCUAGUAUUAGUUUAGGCAGUUAGAUAAAGGUCUCUGUCACGUACCUCCCUUUAGGGAGGCCUUAUAGGGGAGAUAACAUACAACUAGCCUAGACUAAGGUCCGCGUAUCUACUAGGAUGCUGGCGUAAUAGCUAUAAGCGGCCUGUCUUAAAACAUAGACUAAGGAGUCUAAUAUCUAUGCAAGUGUUUAGGUGUUAAGCCUAGACGCGUAAUAAAAGUAAAUAGAGGUAGGAACCCUUUUAGGGUGUACUAUUAACCAAUCCUAAUGUCUUUAGAAGGAUUUAAGUAAGAGCAUAGCUAUUAGGACCUAAAAGAUAGUAAACUAUGCUUAAAUAGGGUAAAGCUAGAGGAAACUCUAGUAGAGGCUCGCAGCAGUUCUAACGUGCAAAUUAAUUGUUAAAUUUAGGCAUAGGGGCAAAAGACUAAUUAAACUAUCUAGUAGCUAGUUCCUGCUAAAGUUUCCCUUAGGAUAGCAGUAACGUAUUUAGUUUUAUAAGGUAAAGCGAAUAAUUAGAGGCCUAGGGGUUAAAAUAACCUUUACCUAUUCUUAAACUUUAAAUAUAUAAGAAGUCCUUAUUACUUAAUUAAAUAUAGACACUUAAAUAUACUAUUACUAGUAGGCUAUUUUUAGUAAGCAGAACUAGCAAUGCAGGAUAAACUAAACGUAGGGUUAAGGUGCUAGAAUGCACGCUUAUUAGACACUACAAAAGGUGUUAGUUUAUCUAGAUAGCAGGAUAGUAGCUAUAGAAGUUAGAAUCUACUAAGAAGUGUGUAAUAACUUACCUGCUAAAUAAACUAGCCCUAAAAAUAGAUAGCGCUUAAGCGUGUUACCUAUACCCUGCUACUAGGGCAAGAUUUAAGCCCUAGCAAGUAGGCAGGCGUAGAGGCUUGUAACAAAGCCUUAGGGGUAACCCUAGGUAGAAUAGCCUCUAGUAUAGAUCUUAGUAGUAGUAGCAAAUACUUAAAUAAGAACUUUAAGGACUAAAGUAGAGAAAGGUUCUAUAUAAAUAGCAGUUAGACAUAGGUUAGUUAAUCCUAAGAGAUAGGGUAAUUCUGUUUUAAUAUUAGCGCUUACGCUACGCCCUUAAAAGGGAAGCUAGUUAAUAUUCUAGCACCUAGAUAUAGAUUCUCCGCGGCAACGCAACUAAGAGCGGAGACCUUAGCAGGAGCCCUAAGAAGAGUUCUCUUUUCUUCUUAACAGUCUAUUACCCUAAAAUUAGUUUAUCUAGAGCUAGGGUUUAAUAGCUAGAAGAGCGCUGCACUUUUGCAGCAUUUAGUGCGCUCCUAAUAAGCCUUAAAAAUCUAAUUAAAGAAAUAGUUUUUACGCUAGGUUAUACUUAUAACUAUAGUAGGUCUCUAAGGUAAAAAGCCUCUAGUUAAUAGAAUAAUAUAGAUAAGGGAAGUUAGCAAAAUAGAUCUAUAACUUUAGGAAAAGAAUUAGCUCUAAGGGUUAGGUACGUUAGGCCUUAGGGAGAAGCCUCUAGCGUAGAAGGGCACUAACUGCAAGGUAGGCGCCUCUUAGCGCUGGGGUGUAGACACCCUUAGCAGGUUUUGGCCGUCUAGCGUACGUUUAACAACUAACUUAGAACUAGUAUAGAUAAGGGGAAUCUAACUAUCUAAUUAAAAUAUAGUAUUAUAAUAGCUAGAAAGUAGUGUUAAUAUAAUAUAAUUUCUGCCUAGUACUCUAAAUAUUAAAGCAAAGAGAUUUAACUAAGCGUGGGUAAACAGCGGGAGUAACUAUAACUCUCUUAAGGUAGCCAAAUGCCUUGUUAUCUAAUUAGUAACGCGCAUAAAUAGAUUAACAAGAUUCCUACUAUCCCUAUCUACUAUCUAGCGAAACUAUAGCUAAGGGAACAGGCUUAGCCAAAUUAGCGGGGAAAGAAGACCCUAUUAAGCUUAACUCUAGUUUAAUAUUAUAAAAAGAUAUAGGGGGUGUAGAAUAGGUAGGAGCUUUAGCACUAGUGAAAUACUACUACCCUUAUUGUUUUUUUACUUAUUUAAUAAAGCAGAGCUAGGCCUUACUACCUAACUUCUAGUGUUUAAGGUCCUUUGUAGGCUAAUCUAGGUUAAAGAUAUUAUUAGGUAGGGAGUUUAGCUAGGGCGGCAUAUCUAUUAAACUAUAACGCAGGUGUCCUAAGGGGGACUUAUAGAGAAUAGAAAUCUCUAGUAGAGUAAAAGGGCAAAAGUCCCCUUGAUUUUGAUUUUUAGUGUGAAUACAAACUAUAAAAGUGUAGCCUAUUAAUCCUUUAGUCCCUUAAAAUUUGAGGCUAGAGGUGCUAGAAAAGUUACUACAGGGAUAACUAGCUUGUGGCAGCCAAGCGUUUAUAGCGACGUUGCUUUUUAAUCCUUUAAUAUUAGCUCUUCCUAUUAUACUAAAGCAGAAUUUGGUAAGCGUUAGAUUGUUCACCUACUAAUAGGGAACGUAAGCUAGGUUUAGACUGUUGUAAGAUAGGUUAGUUUUACCCUACUAAUAACCUUGCCCUAAUAGUAAUACCGCUUAGUAUAAGAGGAACCGCAGUUUUAGAUAAUUAGUUUUUGCGGCUGUCUAACUAGGCAUUGCCGCAAAGCUACUAUCUACUAGAUUAUGGCUAAACGCCUCUAAGUUAGAAUCUAUGCUAGAACAGGGUGAUUUCCGCCUGCACUAGUUAGAUACAAAUAGGCCUUUAGCCUAGAACCUUACUAGAUUAGCGUUAGCAGCCCUAUUAAAGUUAGGGUUGUUAGCUAGUGUAUUGCAAUUGUAUAGUGCGCAGGAUUAAAUCCUUUAUAGAUAACUUAGUUGUCUAGCUAGGUCGUGUAAGUAGUUAAGUAGCCUUGUUGUUACAAGCUACUAAGCGUAAGCCUGUUGCUAGCUUGGUUAAAAUUAGGAUAUUAUACCCUUCUUAUUGCUAACACUGCUGCCUAAAUGGCUGUUAUUAACACAAGGAAGAUGGCUAUAGCUAACAUGUUAUAUAGCAAUUGCAAGAUAGCAAGGGCUAGAGCUAGAAGCAAUCCUUACAAAAUAUACAAAAGAACAGGUUAUGUGUAUACGUACCUUAGGCAGUUAAAUUAUAGCAUAUAAAGAUUAAGAAAGGACCUAAAAUAAUCUAUACAUAUUUUUAGGUGGUGUUCUAUAACUUAGGGCGUUGUAUAACUUUUUAUUUUUAGGGGUAGUGUUCUAUAACUUAGGGCGUUCUAUAACCUUUUAUUUUUUAGGGGUAGUGUUCUAUAACUUAGGGCGUUCUAUAACUUUUUAUUUUUAGGGGUAGUGUUCUAUAACUUAGGGCGUUCUUUAGGGCAUUCUAUUAUAGGCUAUUCUAUAACUAUAGAUUAUUCUAAACCUUUAGGGCAUUCUAUUAAUGUUUUAAAAAAUUUAGUAGGCUCUUUUAUAAGCUUAUAGCGUUCUAUAACUUAGGGCGUUCUAUAACCUUUUAUUUUUUAGGGGUAGUGUUCUAUAACUUAGGGCGUUCUAUAACUUUUUAUUUUUUAGGGGUACGUGUUCUAUAACUUAGGGCGUUCUAUACUUAAAAAAUCUUAUAGGCUAUUCUAUAACUAUAGAUUAUUCUAAACCUUUAGGGCAUUCUAUUAAUAUUUUAAAAAAUCCUAUAGGCUAUUCUAUAACCUUAGGGCGUUCUAUAACUUUUACUUUUUUAGGGGUAGUAUUCUAUAACUUUAGGUCCUUCUAUACCUUUUGUUUAUUCUAUUACUUUAGUGCUUUCUAUAACUUUAGACUAUUCUAUAAUAGUAGCUAUUAUAUCCUUUUUAUAAUCCUUAUAGUAUUAUACUAUUAUCUAUUAUUCUUUACUCUUAAGUAUAUCCUUAUAUUUUAUAAAUCUUUUUCUUUACUAGCUAGUCCUACUAUACUUUUUUAUAACCUACUAGUAUUAAAUAAUACCUUUAUAUUCUUCCUCUAUACUAUCUCUAUUUCUUGCCUUAUAUAUUAAGUAGAUAUAGAUAGAGCUAAUAGAUCUAUAGUUAAUAUAGAUAAAGUAGUUAUAGUAGAGUAUAGAUAUUAGAGUAGAGAUCCUUAUCUAUAUAUUUACCUACUACUAAUAGAAUUCUAAGUUGCUCUUAUCUAGCGAAUACAGGUUUAUAGUUUAUAUAGGGCUGCGCAUGUCUACAUAGUUUUAUAUACAAAAAAGUGUACCUCUAAGCUAUUUUCUACUACACUAACCCCGCGACGCAAAAAUUAAACUAAAACCUAUUCCUAUAAUAUAUAAGGAGGGCAAAUAGAUUCUUAAAUACUAAAUACUUAACUAACUAACUAAGGUUAAAUCUGCUGCGCGCAGUUCUUGGAUUAGGCAGUUAAACUAGCGUUGUUAGGUACUAAGGGGGCAAUUUUUGCUUGUGUCCGCGUCUAUACUCCCUAUAACUCCCUGUUGUUAGCGCUCUGCGCCUGUUUUAGUAGUAGUUAGACUAAAUUUAAAAGUUUUAGUUUUAUAAUAGCUAGCCUUGUUUCCUAGAUUUCUGCCUAGUUUAGAUUUGCUCUAAUUAGUAGGUAAUUAGGGGCUUAGAGAUUGCUCUUCUACUUAACUAGGCAGGCCUAGGCCUAUAUGCUAAGGCAACCCUACUAUUGCGCCUAGUUUUAUAGUUAGCACCUAAAGUCCUACUAUUAAAGUUUUAGUAGUAAGCAAAAUUUAGGGUCUAUAAAUAGCUAGCACUGCUAAACUAUUUAAUAGAUCUUAGGGGAUAGCCCUGCCUAGCAUCCGCUCCUAGUAAGCGUGGCAAAGCGUAGGUUUUCUCUACUUAAGGCAUGUAUAUAGCGAGUUUAAACACGCAGAAAUACCUAUUAGGCUUUAUUGCGGACUAUUCCUUAAGAAACUUAGUAGGGGCAAUUAAAUUAGUUGCUAGUUGUAACUAGUGCCUUGUGUGCUAUUAUGCUAGUAGCUAGAAUUGCUUCUGCGAUUUCUUAUCACGUACUUUCUACCUCCUUUUAGAGGUAGUGCUUGUGCGCUUUAGCGUAUUAGGUAUUAGGAUUGUUACCUAGUUAAUUCUACUAGUAGUUAUAUACUUAUCUUAAAGAUUAAGCUAUAUAUAUCUAAGUAUAAGUAAUUAUACUAUAAAACUGCGAAUAGCUUAUUAAAUUAGUUAUUAUUUAUUUAAUAGUAGCUUACUACUUAAAUAACUAUAGUAAUUCUAGAGCUAAUACAUGCUAAAAACCCUAACUUUAGAAGGGGUGUAUUUAUUAGAUAAAAAACCAACGCCCUUUAGGGCUUCUUAGUAAUUUAUAAUAACUUUACAGAUUAUAUAGCCUUACGCUAGUAAUAGUUUAUUUAAAUUUCUGCCCUAUUAACUUUU
rnacentral:rRNA from 1 species